ensembl:lncRNA
CCCCCUUUCCCGAUUCGUAGCGCUGCCGUCAGCUCCGCGUCAGCGCGAGCGGAGGUUGGGAUCUCCCCGAUAACAACAGGAAAAGAAAAGCGACAAAAACUCAAAUCCCAAAAUAACCGCUUUCGGGGGACGGGAAACCGCAGAGGCGCGGAGCGCAGCGGACGGUCGCGGCUCCGGGCAACGGGCAAACAAACAGCGCGGCGACGGACGGCGGCGGGACCCGGCGGGCCGAACCGCUCCGCGGGGCAGAACCGAACCGGAGCGGCGGGCCGUCCUUCCGGCCGAGAGAGCCGCGCUGCUGCUCGGGUGGUGCUCGGAGCCGCCGCCAACCGGAGCCUCUGCGGGCCGAAAGCCAUUGAGAAACCCCCGGAGGGCCCAAAGCCCCAUUGAGAAAACUCUCAUAGACCCAAAAACCCAUUGAGAAAACUCCCGUAGGGCCCAAAACCCAUCGAGAAAACUGCAAUGGACCCAAAACCCGUUGAAAAAAAAAACCUUCUACAGACACAAAAGCCGCUGAGAAAACUCCCGCGGGGCCCAAACCCCAUCGGGAAAAUUCCUCUGGACCCAAAACCCAUUGGGAAAACUCUCAUGGACCCAAAACCCAUUGAAAAAAGUCCUAUAGACCCAAAACCCAUUGAGAACCCCCCCCCCCCCCAGGGCCCACACCCCAUUGAGAAAACUCCAAUGGACGCAAAAUCCGUGGAGAAAACCCCCAUCGACCCCAAACCCCAUUGAGAAAACUCCCACCGACCCAAAACUCAUUGAAAAAGAAAACUUCUACAGAGCCAAAAUCCACUGAGAAAAAUCCUACAGACCCCAAAACCCAUUGGGAAAACUCCUACGGACACAAAACCUAUCAAGAAAAUACCCAUACACCCAAAAGUCAUUGAGAAAAACUUCUAUAGACCCAAAUCCUAUUAGGAAAAAUCCUACUGACCCAAAACCCACUGAGAAAACUCCCACAGGGCCCAGACCCCAUUGGGAAAACUCCUACGGACACAAAACCCAUUAAGAACCCCCCACCCCCACGGGGCCCAAAACCCACUGAGAAAACCUCCAUACACCCAAACCCCAUUGAGAAAACUCCCACGGGGCUCAGACCCCAUUAGGACAUCUUUGAUGGAUACAAAACCCAUUGAGAAAAAUCCCGUACACCCAAACCCCACUGAGAAAACCCCCAUCGACCCCAAACCCCAUUGAGAAAACUCCCACAGACCCAAAACUCAUUGAAAAAGAAAACUUCUACAGAGCCAAAAUCCACUGAGAAAAAUCCUACAGACCCCAAACCCACUGAGCAAAUUCCCACAGGGCCCAAACCCCAUUGGGAGAACUCCUAUGGACCCGAAACCCAUUGAGAAAACUCCCAUAGACCCAAAUCCUAUUGGGAAAAAUCCUACUGACCCAAAACCCAUUGAGAAAUCUCCCAUACACCCAAACCCCAUUGAGAAAAGUCCCACGGGGCCCAAAUCCCAUUGGGAAAACUCCGAUGGACACAAAACCCAUUGAGAAAACCCUCCUGGACCCGAAACCCAUUGAGAAAACUUCUACAGACCCAAAACCCACUGAGAAAAAUCCUACAGGGAUUAGGACUAGGGUUAGGGUUAGAGUUAUGGGGUCAGGGUUAGGGUUAGAGUUAUGGGGUCAGGGUUAGGGUUACUGUUAUGGGGUCAGGGUUAGGGUUAGCGUUAUGGGGUCAGGGUUAGGGUUAGAGUUAUGGGGUCAGGGUUAGGGUUAGAGUUAUGGGGUCAGGGUUAGGGUUAGAGUUAUGGGGUCAGGAUUAGGGUUAGAGUUAUGGGAUCAGGGUUAUAUGGUUAGGGUCAGGGUUAGGGUUAGGAUUAGGACUAGGAUUAGGGUUAGGGUUAUAGGAUCAAGGUCAGAGUUAUAGGGCUAGGGUCAGGAUAAGAAUCAUAGGGUCAGGGUUAGGGUUGGGGUUAGGAUUAUAGGGUCAGGGUCACAGGGUCAGGGUUGGCGCUAUAGGGUCAGGGCUACAGGAUCAGGGUUGGGGUUGUAAGGUCAGGGUUGGGGUCACAGGGUCGUAGUUGAGGUUAUAGGGUCAGGGUUGUAGGGUCAGGGUUGGGACCAUAGGAUCAGGGUUGGGCUUAUAGAGUCAGGGUUACAGGAUCAGGGUUGGGGUCAUAGGGCCAGGGUCAGGGUUAUAGGGUCAGGUUGGGGUUAUAGGGUCAGGGUUACAGGGUCUGGGUUGAGACCAUAGGGUCAGGGUUGGGGUUAUAGGGUCAAGGUUGGGGUCAUAGGGUCAGGGUUGGGAUUGUAGGAUCAGAGUUGGGGUUAUAGGGUCAGGUUUGGGACCAUAGGGUCAGGAUUGGGGUCAUAGAGUCAGGAUUACAGGAUCAGGGUUGGGGUUAUAGGGUCAGGGUUGGGGUUAUAGGGUCAGGGUUGGGGUUGGUGUUAUAGGGUCAGGGU